GAUGAACGCUGGCGGCGUGCCUAAUACAUGCCAGUCGAGCGAACAGAUAAGGAGCUUGCUCCUUUGACGUUAGCGGCGGACGGGUGAGUAACACGUGGGUAACCUACCUAUAAGACUGGAAUAACUCCGGGAAACCGGGGCUAAUGCCGGAUAACAUUUAGAACCGCAUGGUUCUAAAGUGAAAGAUGGUUUUGCUAUCACUUAUAGAUGGACCCGCGCCGUAUUAGCUAGUUGGUAAGGUAACGGCUUACCAAGGCAACGAUACGUAGCCGACCUGAGAGGGUGAUAGGCCACACUGGAACUGAGACACGGUCCAGACUCCUACGGGAGGCAGCAGUAGGGAAUCUUCCGCAAUGGGCGAAAGCCUGACGGAGCAACGCCGCGUGAGUGAUGAAGGUCUUCGGAUCGUAAAACUCUGUUAUUAGGGAAGAACAAAUGUGUAAGUAACUGUGCACGUCUUGACGGUACCUAAUCAGAAAGCCACGGCUAACUACGUG
rnacentral:rRNA from 1 species